AACGAACGCUGGCGGCAGGCUUAACACAUGCAAGUCGAACGGUGAAGGAGAGCUUGCUCUCUGGAUCAGUGGCGAACGGGUGAGUAACACGUGAGCAAUCUGCCCCUGACUCUGGGAUAAGCGCUGGAAACGGCGUCUAAUACUGGAUACGAGCUGCGAAGGCAUCUUCAGCAGCUGGAAAGAAUUUCGGUCAGGGAUGAGCUCGCGGCCUAUCAGCUAGUUGGUGAGGUAACGGCUCACCAAGGCGUCGACGGGUAGCCGGCCUGAGAGGGUGACCGGCCACACUGGACUGAGACACGGCCCAGACUCCUACGGGAGGCAGCAGUGGGGAAUAUUGCACAAUGGGCGCAAGCCUGAUGCAGCAACGCCGCGUGGGGGACGACGGCCUUCGGGUUGUAAACCUCUUUUAGCAGGGAAGAAGCGAAAGUGACGGUACCUGCAGAAAAAGCGCCGGCUAACUACGUGCCAGCAGCCGCCGUAA
rnacentral:rRNA from 1 species